rnacentral:rRNA from 1 species
UUACACCUACGGGGCGCAGCAGUGGGGAAUAUUGGGCAAUGGGCGCAAGCCUGACCCAGCAACGCCGCGUGAAGGAAGAAGGCUUUCGGGUUGUAAACUUCUUUUCUCAGGGACGAAGAAAGUGACGGUACCUGAGGAAUAAGCCACGGCUAACUACGUGCCAGCAGCCGCGGUAAUACGUAGGUGGCAAGCGUUAUCCGGAUUUACUGGGUGUAAAGGGCGUGUAGGCGGGACUGCAAGUCAGAUGUGAAAACCACGGGCUCAACCUGUGGCCUGCAUUUUAAACUGGAGUUCUUGAGUACUGG